rnacentral:rRNA from 1 species
UACGAAGGGGGCUAGCGUUGUUCGGAACCACUGGGCGUAAAGGGCGCGUAGGCGGCUUUAUAAGUCGGGGGUGAAAGCCUGUGGCUCAACCACAGAAUUGCCUUCGAUACUGUAGAGCUUGAGACCGGAAGAGGUAAGUGGAACUGCGAGUGUAGAGGUGAAAUUCGUAGAUAUUCGCAAGAACACCAGUGGCGAAGGCGGCUUACUGGUCCGGUUCUGACGCUGAGGCGCGAAAGCGUGGGGAGCAAACAGG